UACAAUUUUGAUUCAUUAUCAUAUAAUAAUUCAUGAUUAUUUUCUCUUCUUGUUUCUUUACCGACCGAAUAUCAUAAUGGAACAGUUAUGUGUCUGACUUUCUCUCGACAUCUUCUACUGUCAGCGUUAGGAAUAUUAUACGAUAUCUGUAAUAUUUAAAUGAUAUUUCAGGAUAUUCGUGUGUACCGGAGUUUGCGCUGAAAGUACAACAAGAAACAAAUAGCGCUCGUUUGUACGUCGGUGACACUAGCGUUGGUUCAUCCAUUAUUCACCGUUCAUCCAUUUACUUCAUUUACCUCGUUCACUUCGGUGUAUCGUCGCAAAAAACCAGUAACCAGACACUCGUAACACGCACGUCGCGAUGCAAGGAAUGUACUGUGGAAAAUAAAUACGACACAGGAAUCUCAUUUCUGAGAAAGUAUUUUUUUUGCAAACUAUUUCUUCCAUUUCACAUACGCGUGUGAAAUCUUGUAGAAAAUUUUCUGGUAAAUAUUCUUAAUAUUGAAUAUCAUUUACUCAAGUAAUAUCGAUAAUUAAAAUUUUGAACAUGUUAAUAUGGAAAUAAUUUAAACAUAUUAAAAUAUUUCGUAAAAAGACUUUGGUAAAUAAAAAAGGUCUAAAAUAAAAUGAAACAUUAAAUAAUUAGUUAGUGGCCAUUUGCAUCGUUUAUUGCUAAUAUAAAUACCAUUCUUUUACAAAUUGAAUCGAAGUAAUGACGGUCCAUAACACGCGUAAAAAAUAUUAUCUAAUCGAGCCUAAUGACGGAAUAAUGCUAUAGCAUUCGACAAAUUGUAAUACCUUAUAGGAAUGGAAAUAGAGAAAGAGAGAAGAGAAGGCAGAAGAAGAGAGGCAAGAGAAAAAAGUGAAAGAACGAGGAUCGAUGGAGAAUGUAAGUUUUUAUUUAUUCUUUUCACCUCCAUUUCUUUGAACAAUCGGUUUGUCGAUCGUUUAAUG